GGCAAGUAGCUUGAUCAACAACCACAUUGACGCCUGAAACGAUCAGCCUCUUUAAACAACAGAAUAUUUACUGAGCUGUUCAAAGACCCUUGUGGGACACAUCUGAUACUCAGAGUUUUUUCCCCUUGAAAAGGCAUAAGGCAUAAGUGAAGAACAAUGGCAGAAUCUUCCCCAACACCAUCAUAUACACGAAAAAGGAGAGGGAGUAUAGACGAUCCUCCAUCUAUGUCAUCCUCAAGUCAGCCUGAAGUUCUGUGUGACUUCUGUGAGGAAAGAAAGCUGAAAGCCCUGAAGUCGUGUCUGGUGUGUCAGAGCUCUUACUGUGAAACUCACCUGGAGCCUCAUUUGAGAGUGGCAGGUGGAG